rnacentral:rRNA from 1 species
CACUCCUACGGGAGGCAGCAGUGGGGAAUUUUGGACAAUGGGCGAAAGCCUGAUCCAGCAAUGCCGCGUGAGUGAAGAAGGCCUUCGGGUUGUAAAGCUCUUUUGUCAGGGAAGAAACGGUGAGAGCUAAUAUCUCUUGCUAAUGACGGUACCUGAAGAAUAAGCACCGGCUAACUACGUGCCAGCAGCCGCGGUAAUACGUAGGGUGCAAGCGUUAAUCGGAAUUACUGGGCGUAAAGCGUGCGCAGGCGGUUUUGUAAGUCUGAUGUGAAAUCCCCGGGCUCAACCUGGGAAUUGCAUUGGAGACUGCAAGGCUAGAAUCUGGCAGAGGGGGGUAGAAUUCCACGUGUAGCAGUGAAAUGCGUAGAUAUGUGGAGGAACACCGAUGGCGAAGGCAGCCCCCUGGGUCAAGAUUGACGCUCAUGCACGAAAGCGUGGGGAGCAAACAGGAUUAGAAACCCCUGUAGUCCCAUGA